rnacentral:tRNA from 1 species
AGCAGCGUAGCGCAAGUGGAAGCGUGGUGGGCUCAUAACCCACAGGUCGUAUGAUCGAAACAUACCGCUGCUA